UACAUGGGGUGCAAACGUUGCUCGGAUUUAUUGGGCGUAAAGAGCGUGUAGGCGGCCAGAUAGGUCAGCUGUGAAAACUCGAGGCUCAACCUCGAGACGUCGGUUGAAACCAUCUGGCUAGAGUCCGGAAGAGGAGAGUGGAAUUCCCGGUGUAGCGGUGAAAUGCGCAGAUAUCGGGAAGAACACCCGUGGCGAAGGCGGCUCUCUGGGACGGUACUGACGCUGAGACGCGAAAGCGUGGGGAGCGAACAGG
rnacentral:rRNA from 1 species